ACGCUCGACACCUACGGGAGGGAGCAGUGGGGAAUAUUGCACAAUGGGGGAAACCCUGAUGCAGCGACGCCGCGUGGAGGAAGAAGGUCUUCGGAUUGUAAACUCCUGUUGUUGGGGAAAAAGAGGAUGGUACCCAACAAGGAAGUGACGGCUAACUACGUGCUAGCAGCCGCGGUAAUCUGAGCGGGCUGGCAAGGC
rnacentral:rRNA from 1 species